UCUACAUCGGCGGAAGAAUGGAUCUAUCUAUAUCGGCGGAAGAAUGGAUCUAUCUACAUCGGCGGAAGAAUGGAUCUAUCUAUAUCGGUUUAGACUUUUUUUUAAAACCCUAACUUAAGCGUUAAAGCACAAUUAUUUAUUAUGUUUUUUUUUUGCUUCCUAAUAAUUGAAGAGACAGUCAGAGAAAGCGAUGGGAAGACAACAUACAUAGAAUGGGCGAGUCUGCCAUUGGAAGAGGUUCUAUCCAAGGCAAAAGACAGAGAGGAAAGGAGAGAGACGGUUAACGAAUCUUGUAUGGUACCCCAUUAGACUAAGGAAUAUGUGAAGGUGACUAAAUGUGAACAACAUAAAGAUGGGGACCGUAAAAGAAAUUGGGUUAAAUGGUAGUUACUAGAAAUAUUUUGAGUUAGGCAGGGGAGUUAUUGCUCUUUUUUUUAGGGGGGGGGGAUGAAGGAGGGGUGCUGUUACUUUUACUAUACCCAUUAGUUUGUGUAAGUGUGGUUACGCAGUAUAUUUGUAUAGGCCUAUAUAUAUAUAUAUAUAUAUUUCUGGUGAAAGGUCUAGACGACAAUGUUUUAAUAAAUGCUAUGUUUUCCUAAGCCUGAUCUUGCCAUACAUCCCUGUUCUAAGUAGAUCACUUUACCAGCACAUUUUGUCAUCACGAGUCUUGAGGACCAAAAAGUGUUUUUGUAAUUAUUGUACUUUGAUAAAAAUGAUCUUUUUUCAAUGAUCCGAAUUAAACCAAAAUGAAACCUUCA